CAGUCGACGGUAACAGGUCUUCGGAUGCUGACGAGUGGCGAACGGGUGAGUAAUGCAUCGGAACGUGCCCAGUCGUGGGGGAUAACGCAGCGAAAGCUGUGCUAAUACCGCAUACGAUCUAUGGAUGAAAGCGGGGGAUCGAAAGACCUCGCGCGAUUGGAGCGGCCGAUGUCAGAUUAGCUAGUUGGUGGGGUAAAGGCCCACCAAGGCGACGAUCUGUAGCUGGUCUGAGAGGACGACCAGCCACACUGGGACUGAGACACGGCCCAGACUCCUACGGGAGGCAGCAGUGGGGAAUUUUGGACAAUGGGCGCAAGCCUGAUCCAGCAAUGCCGCGUGCAGGAAGAAGGCCUUCGGGUUGUAAACUGCUUUUGUACGGAACGAAAAGGUCUGGGUUAAUACCCUGGGCUCAUGACGGUACCGUAAGAAUAAGCACCGGCUAACUACGUGCCAGCAGCCGCGGUAAUACGUAGGGUGCAAGCGUUAAUCGGAAUUACUGGGCGUAAAGCGUGCGCAGGCGGUUUUGUAAGACAGGCGUGAAAUCCCCGGGCUCAACCUGGGAAUGGCGCUUGUGACUGCAAAGCUGGAGUGCGGCAGAGGGGGAUGGAAUUCCGCGUGUAGCAGUGAAAUGCGUAGAUAUGCGGAGGAACACCAAUGGCGAAGGCAAUCCCCUGGGCCUGCACUGACGCUCAUGCACGAAAGCGUGGGGAGCAAACAGGAUUAGAUACCCUGGUAGUCCACGCCCUAAACGAUGUCAACUGGUUGUUGGUCCUUAGCUGGAUCAGUAACGAAGCUAACGCGUGAAGUUGACCGCCUGGGGAGUACGGCCGCAAGGGUUGAAACUCAAAGGAAUUGACGG
rnacentral:rRNA from 1 species